GACAGAGGAUGCAAGCGUUAUCCGGAAUGAUUGGGCGUAAAGCGUCUGUAGGUGGUUUGACAAGUCUUUUGUCAAAGAUCAGGGCUUAACCCUGGGCCGGCAAGAGAAACUAUCAGACUAGAGUUCGGUAGGGGCAGAGGGAAUUCCCGGUGUAGCGGUGAAAUGCGCAGAUAUCAGGAGGAACACCAAUUGCGAAGGCAGCUCGCUGGGACGUUACUGACGCUGAGACGCGAAAGCGUGGGGAGCAAACAGG
rnacentral:rRNA from 1 species